rnacentral:rRNA from 1 species
CAGCUAGUUGGUGAGGUAACGGCUCACCAAGGCGACGAUCAGUAGCUGGUCUGAGAGGAUGAUCAGCCACAUUGGGACUGAGACACGGCCCAAACUCCUACGGGAGGCAGCAGUGGGGAAUAUUGGACAAUGGGCGCAAGCCUGAUCCAGCCAUGCCGCGUGAGUGAUGAAGGCCCUAGGGUUGUAAAGCUCUUUUGUGCGGGAAGAUAAUGACGGUACCGCAAGAAUAAGCCCCGGCUAACUUCGUGCCAGCAGCCGCGGUAAUACGAAGGGGGCUAGCGUUGCUCGGAAUCACUGGGCGUAAAGGGUGCGUAGGCGGGUCUUUAAGUCAGAGGUGAAAUCCUGGAGCUCAACUCCAGAACUGCCUUUGAUACUGAGGAUCUUGAGUUCGGGAGAGGUGAGUGGAACUGCGAGUGUAGAGGUGAAAUUCGUAGAUAUUCGCAAGAACACCAGUGGCGAAGGCGGCUCACUGGCCCGAUACUGACGCUGAGGCACGAAAGCGUGGGGAGCAAACAGGAUUAGAUACCCUGGUAGUCCACGCCGUAACGAUGAAUGCCAGCCGUUAGUGGGUUUACUCACUAGUGGCGCAGCUAACGCUUUAAGCAUUCCGCCUGGGGAGUACGGUCGCAAGAUUAAAACUCAAAGGAAUUGACGG